rnacentral:rRNA from 1 species
GACGUAGGGCGCGAGCGUUGUCCGGAUUUAUUGGGCGUAAAGAGCGUGUAGGCGGCCAGGUAGGUCUGCUGUGAAAACUCGAGGCUCAACCUCGAGACGUCGGCGGAAACCAUCUGGCUAGAGUCCGGAAGAGGAGAGUGGAAUUCCUGGUGUAGCGGUGAAAUGCGCAGAUAUCAGGAGGAACACCAAUGGCGAAGGCAGCUCGCUGGGGACGUGACUGACGCUGAGAACGCGAAAAGCCGUGGGGGAGCAAAACAGG